AGAGUUUGAUCCUGGCUCAGAACGAACGUUCGCGGCGCGCUUAACACAUGCAAGUCGCACGAGAAAGGGCUUCGGCCCCGGUACAGUGGCGCACGGGUGAGUAACACGUAGGUAAUUUGCCUCCGAGUGGUGGAUAACCUUCCGAAAGGAGGGCUAAUACAGCAUGAGACCACGACCCCGAAAGGGGAUGAGGUCAAAGCGGGCCUCUUCAUGAAAGCUCGCGCUUGGGGAUGAGCCUGCGGCCCAUCAGCUAGUUGGUAGGGUAAUGGCCUACCAAGGCGAAGACGGGUAGCUGGUCUGAGAGGAUGAUCAGCCACACUGGAACUGAGACACGGUCCAGACUCCUACGGGAGGCAGCAGUGGGGAAUCUUGCGCAAUGGGCGAAAGCCUGACGCAGCGACGCCGCGUGGGUGAUGAAGGCCUUCGGGUUGUAAAGCCCUGUGGGGAGGGAAGAAUGAGUCGGGGCGAAUACCCCCGGCGAUGACGGUACCUCCUUAGCAAGCACCGGCUAACUCUGUGCCAGCAGCCGCGGUAAGACAGAGGGUGCGAACGUUGUUCGGAAUUACUGGGCGUAAAGCGCAUGUAGGCGGCCGCGCAGGUCGGGUGUGAAAGCCCUGGGCUCAACCCAGGAAGUGCACUCGAAACCGCGCGGCUCGAGUCCCGGAGAGGAAGUUGGAAUUCUCGGUGUAGAGGUGAAAUUCGUAGAUAUCGGGAGGAACACCGGCGGCGAAAGCGGACUUCUGGACGAGGACUGACGCUGAGAUGCGAAAGCGUGGGGAGCAAACAGGAUUAGAUACCCCGGUAGUCC
rnacentral:rRNA from 1 species